rnacentral:rRNA from 1 species
CGACGGGUGAGUAACGCGUAUGCAACUUGCCUAUCAGAGGGGGAUAACCCGGCGAAAGUCGGACUAAUACCGCAUGAAGCAGGGAUCCCGCAUGGGAAUAUUUGCUAAAGAUUCAUCGCUGAUAGAUAGGCAUGCGUUCCAUUAGGCAGUUGGCGGGGUAACGGCCCACCAAACCGACGAUGGAUAGGGGUUCUGAGAGGAAGGUCCCCCACAUUGGUACUGAGACACGGACCAA